rnacentral:lncRNA from 1 species
CUAUUCUAAAAUUUUGCCAGGGUGUGGUCUGAGAGCAGCUGGAAGGUUUAUCAUAUCACUUGUGUAUUAAGUGUUGGAUACCUGCUAUCUUUAACGAGGUGAAUCUCUGACAGCAGAGCCGAUAUUCAUGCUCCCAGCAAUAGGACUGCAUCAAUGGGCCAAUUGUCUCUGUAACUGUAAAUCACACCGCAUUUCUUUACAGGAGAAAAAACCCACUGAGAGAACUGAUUCUAUUUGGGAAAAUAGCACUUCCAUGCAAAAGAAACUCAACUUUUCCAGCUGCUGUUUCACCAGCUUCAGGACUACAACAAAUCCUUCAAGUCCUUAUUAUAGCCUGAUAGUGUCUCACAUCAUCCAUUUUAAGCAGGAUCCAUCCAGUCUGCUUCAGCUCUUCAGGACACGGGCUAUCUUUGAGGACAAUCUUCUGACACCUGAUUCUUGGAAUAAAGGACUAUCUGACUGCAACACCAUUGAUUAGCGAUGGACUAAGCUCGCCCAGCAGUGUGAACAAAUUGCCUGGAAAUGUCGUCAUCAGGCUUCAACUGGCACUAUCUCCCUUUCUGUCUGGGUCAUUGAUUUCCUCAUCUCCUUUGCCUUAAAACUCACAUCAUACAUCAAUUUCUGAAUCUCCAGCACUGAAGCAGCUGCACUGUGCCUUUCCUGCUCAACACCAGCAGCUUUCAGCCUCUGAAGUGUCCUUUACUGAUGCUCAUCUGAAGACCUCCUGAGUGUGCCUCAAGUGGCCUCCCUGCCUGCUACAUAACAGCCUGUGCUCUGCCAGCUUUUGUUUCAUCACAAGAGGGCUUAGAGCUGUUCUGCUCUCGGAAAUUGGGUAAAAUUUGGUCUCCUUCCUACAAUGACUCAGUGUGCUGGAGAAAUGACUCCUGCCUUGUGCGAGCAGCUAUGGCAGGGCACCGAGCUGUGCCAGCCUCUGCUAGCCACCAGCUACCCUCAGGAGAGCCCCUCAGCCAGCAAGGAGCUGGGGCUGCUCUGCACACGGGUCUUAUGAUUGCUAAAUGUAGAGUCCAUUGAUAAAUAAAGCAAAUGCACAAAGUGUGCAAGAACCAGCAGUUGUUACAGUGUCAUCUUAGCUAACACAGCCUUUUCCUCUGUUCUUUUGCUUUCCUCUUUGUGGCCCUUCAUCAGAGACUUGUGCAAUUU